rnacentral:rRNA from 1 species
AGUGAACGCUGGCGGUAGGCCUAACACAUGCAAGUCGAACGGCAGCACAGUAAGAGCUUGCUCUUACGGGUGGCGAGUGGCGGACGGGUGAGGAAUACAUCGGAAUCUACUUUUUCGUGGGGGAUAACGUAGGGAAACUUACGCUAAUACCGCAUACGACCUACGGGUGAAAGCAGGGGAUCUUCGGACCUUGCGCGAUUGAAUGAGCCGAUGUCGGAUUAGCUAGUUGGCGGGGUAAAGGCCCACCAAGGCGACGAUCCGUAGCUGGUCUGAGAGGAUGAUCGGCCACACUGGAACUGUGACACGGUCCAGACUCCUACGAGAGGCAGCAGUGGGGAAUAUUGGACAAUGGGCGCAAGCCUGAUCCAGCCAUACCGCGUGGGUGAAGAAGGCCUUCGGGUUGUAAAGCCCUUUUGUUGGGAAAGAAAAGCAGCAGGUUAAUACCCCGCUGUUCUGACGGUACCCAAAGAAUAAGCACCGGCUAACUUCGUG